CUCCUACGGGAGGCAGCAGUGGGGAAUUUUGCGCAAUGGGGGAAACCCUGACGCAGCAACGCCGCGUGAGUGAUGAAGGCUUUCGGGUCGUAAAGCUCUGUCAGAGGGGAAGAAAUGGGUCUGGCUAAUAUCCAGAUUCCUUGACGGUACCCUCAAAGGAAGCACCGGCUAACUCCGUGCCAGCAGCCGCGGUAAUACGGAGGGUGCAAGCGUUGUUCGGAUUUAUUGGGCGUAAAGCGCGUGUAGGCGGUUUCUUAAGUCUGAUGUGAAAGCCCUGGGCUCAACCCAGGAAGUGCAUUGGAUACUGGGAGACUUGAAUACGGGAGAGGGUAGUGGAAUUCCUAGUGUAGGAGUGAAAUCCGUAGAUAUUAGGAGGAACACCGGUGGCGAAGGCGGCUACCUGGACCGAUAUUGACGCUGAGACGCGAAAGCGUGGGGAGCAAACAGGAUAGAUACCCUGGUAGUCCMCGCCGUAAACGAUGAGAACUAGGUGUUGCGGGUAUUGACCCCUGCAGUGCCGCAGCUAACGCAUUAAGUUCUCCGCCUGGGAAGUACGGUCGCAAGACUAAAACUUAAAGGAAUUGACG
rnacentral:rRNA from 1 species